rnacentral:rRNA from 1 species
CCUACGGGACGCAGCAGUGAGGAAUAUUGGUCAAUGGGCGAGAUCCUGAACCAGCCAAGUCGCGUGAGGGAAGACGGUCCUAUGGAUUGUAAACCUCUUUUGCCGGAGAACAAAAACCGGGACGUGUCCCGCAUCGCGAGUAUCCGGAGAAAAAGCAUCGGCUAACUCCGUGCCAGCAGCCGCGGUAAUACGGAGGAUGCGAGCGUUAUCCGGAUUUAUUGGGUUUAAAGGGUGCGCAGGCGGCGCGUUAAGUCAGCGGUAAAAUUUCGGGGCUCAACCCCGACAAGCCGUUGAAACUGGC